rnacentral:lncRNA from 10 species
CACUUGUGCCCAGGGAAAGGUCAUGGUCAAUGAGAAAGCCUUUGAUGGGGAGAGUCUGAGAUGAGACCCAGGAACAUCACCACGCAGCUGUCCAGGAAAGAUGUGGGACCCUCUGUCAGAUCAGGCCAGUUCUCUUAAGCUGCAGUGAAAGACAGCGAAGGAAUUAUCCGGGAAUCACGAGGAGAAUGGAGACCACAUGGAAAGGAGUUUAAAAAUCACAUUUGGAAAAGUAGACCCUUUAUGCAAAAGAACAGCCACUGAGAGAAACAGCAACAGAGAUGGAUGGAUUAAAAACGGCAAGUUCUAUCAUCGCCACCCCCCGUCCCCCCACAUACUUUUCUCUCUUUUCAGGAUUCUGAUGGUGCCUGUUGGCUGCUUCCGUGAUGUCUGGAGUUGCAAAAUGUGCCAGAAAGCAGAAGGAUACACCGCCAUUCAGAGAGGAUUUUCUUAGGGACUUGAAGAAAUUGACCUCGAAAUUUCAGUAAAUGAGAGGACUGUGGCUGGCCUGUAUCUUUGGCACUGGGUACAUCCUGUCAUUCUUGUUGUACCUACAUAAGAGAAUUUAACUCUGGGUUCUCCCUGACUAAUUCCAGGGGAAGUAAAUGGGUAGACCCUUAACACUUCUGUGCCAGAAGGGACCUUGGAGGGCAUCUAGUCCAACCUUGCCAGUUGAGAAGCAGGAUUACCUAGUGGUUGGGAGCACAGACUUGAAGCCACAUAGUCCCAGUUUGAAACUGACUCCAUCGCUUACUAGCAGUAUGACCUUGGGCAAGUUACUAACCUCUGCCUCAGUUUCCUCAUCUGUAAGGUGGGGAUGGCAAUAAUUGUCGUUGCAUCAUAGGACUCUAGUGGGGGACUAAAUGAGUUAACACAUGUAAAGCACCAAGAAUGUGCAAAGCAUAC